rnacentral:rRNA from 1 species
CUACGGGAUGCUCCAGUGGGGAAUAUUGCACAAUGGAGGAAACUCUGAUGCAGCAACGCCGCGUGGAGGAUGACACUUUUCGGAGCGUAAACUCCUUUUAUAUAGGAAGAAGAUGACGGUACUAUAUGAAUAAGCGCCGGCUAACUCCGUGCCAGCAGCCGCGGUAAUACGGAGGGCGCAAGCGUUACUCGGGAUCACUGGGCGUAAAGAGCGUGUAGGCGGAUUAAAAAGUCAGAAGUGAAAUCCUAUAGCUUAACUAUAGAACUGCUUCUGAAACUCUUAAUCUAGAAUAUGUGAGAGGUAGAUGGAAUUUCUGGUGUAGGGGUAAAAUCCGUAGAGAUCAGAAGGAAUACCGAUUGCGAAGGCGAUCUACUAGAACAUUAUUGACGCUGAGACGCGAAAGCGUGGGGAGCAAACAGGAUUAGAUACCCGAGUAGUC